GACGAACGCUGGCGGCGUGCUUAACACAUGCAAGUCGAACGGAAAGGCCCUGCUUUUGUGGGGUGCUCGAGUGGCGAACGGGUGAGUAACACGUGAGUAACCUGCCCUUGACUUUGGGAUAACUUCAGGAAACUGGGGCUAAUACCGGAUAGGAGCUCCUGCUGCAUGGUGGGGGUUGGAAAGUUUCGGCGGUUGGGGAUGGACUCGGGGCUUAUCAGCUUGUUGGUGGGGUAGUGGCUUACCAAGGCUUUGACGGGUAGCCGGCCUGAGAGGGUGACCGGCCACAUUGGGACUGAGAUACGGCCCAGACUCCUACGGGGGGCAGCAGUGGGGAAUAUUGCACAAUGGGCGGAAGCCUGAUGCAGAAACGCCGCGUGCGGGAUGACGGCCUUCGGGUUGUAAACCGCUUUCGCCUGUGACGAAGCGGGAGUGACGGUAAUGGGUAAAGAAGCACCGGCUAACUACGUG
rnacentral:rRNA from 1 species